UACGGGGGGAGCAAGCGUUGUUCGGAUUUACUGGGCGUAAAGGGCGCGUAGGCGGCCACCGCAAGUCGACUGUGAAAUCUCCGGGCUUAACCCGGAAAGGUCAGCCGAUACUGCGGGGCUAGAGUGCAGAAGGGGCAACUGGAAUUCUCGGUGUAGCGGUGAAAUGCGUAGAUAUCGAGAGGAACACCUGCGGCGAAGGCGGGUUGCUGGGCUGACACUGACGCUGAUGCGCGAAAGCUGGGGGAGCGAACAGG
rnacentral:rRNA from 1 species